rnacentral:rRNA from 1 species
GAUGAACGCUGGCGGCGUGCCUAAUACAUGCAAGUCGAGCGAACAGACGAGGAGCUUGCUCCUUUGACGUUAGCGGCGGACGGGUGAGUAACACGUGGGUAACCUACCUAUAAGACUGGGAUAACUUCGGGAAACCGGAGCUAAUACCGGAUAAUAUUUCGAACCGCAUGGUUCGAUAGUGAAAGAUGGCUUUGCUAUCACUUAUAGAUGGACCUGCGCCGUAUUAGCUAGUUGGUAAGGUAACGGCUUACCAAGGCAACGAUACGUAGCCGACCUGAGAGGGUGAUCGGCCACACUGGAACUGAGACACGGUCCAGACUCCUACGGGAGGCAGCAGUAGGGAAUCUUCCGCAAUGGGCGAAAGCCUGACGGAGCAACGCCGCGUGAGUGAUGAAGGUCUUCGGAUCGUAAAACUCUGUUAUUAGGGAAAAACAAACGUGUAAGUAACUGUGCACGUCUUGACGGUACCUAAUCAGAAAGCCACGGCUAACUACGUG